AUUAGUGACGAUAGCAAAGAGGGUACACCUAGUCCCAUCCCGAACCUAGAAGUUAAGCUCUUUAACGCCGAAGAUAGUAUAAUGCUAAAAUAGGUAGUCGCUAAUG
rfam:Mycoplasma sp. CAG:611 genomic scaffold, scf41